GUGUCUAAACACUGGGUGGUUUAAGGAAUUUUGAGGGAACCAAAAAAAAAAUAGAGAAAAGGGGGGGAGCAGAGAACGGCUAGGGUUUCAGGGAGAAAAGAAACGAAACAAAAGAAGAGAAAAAAAGCUAGCGGUGGAGGAAAAAAAAGGGAGAAGGGGGCUGAGCAAAACGGAAGAAAAAGGGCAACGGUAAAAAACUAGAAGAAAUUGAGAGCUUGGGAAGAGGCAAGAAAGGCAGCUUCGGGCGGUGGGGGAAGUAAAAAAAAAAAACAGAGAGGAAGGCUGGCGGAAGAACAGAGCAAGGUAGGAGGAAAACGAGAAAAAGCAAAGAAAUGGGCUUCGGGCGGCUUCGGGCUGAAACGGAUGAAGAGGAAACCAGGACAAGAAAGGCAAAAACAAUUGGUGGCUAGGAAAAAGGAGUGACGGAAGAAAAGAAAAAGGCAGCGAAGGCCAAGAGAGAAAAAACAGAGAAGGUAACCAGAAAAAUAGGGAAAAUGGGCGGAGGAAAAGAAGAAGAAAGCAAGGGACGGAGGAAGAACCGGAGCCGGCACCACCUCGUCGAAUUCCACCACUGCCACCUAUGAAUCUUCACCGUGAGAGACCACUGUAAGUUAUCACCUUCCUUUACAUUUUAGUGUUCCUCCAAGCACGGGCCAUGAAAGUUUUCAAAGCAUGUCUGCCGCGAGCUGUCAAUUCAAUUUUCAUGUUGAUUGUUCAUGGAUUUUAGAAUAUAUAUGCCUUAUGUGUUAAAUUGGUUUGAAUUACUUGGGAUUUCUGAUAAUUUUGGGUGCUGAGUUAUGUCAAUUGCGCGAGAAAUUGGUGAAAUUUUAAUGGCCAUUUGUUGUUCGAUGAAAUGCUCCAUUGAGAGUUCGGCCUGAAGGAUGGACUAAUUUUUGUUUUUGUAUACACUCGACCAGUCCAAACGAGACUUGUGGAAAAUUUUGAUGUGUUUACUUUUUGUGCAUUUCAUGUCUUUCUUACCCUUUCUCUGGUAUGAAUCAGAGUCACAUCUUGACAUUGUAUGAGAAUAAGUUUGUAUGAGUUUUUUUUUUUCCUUUUUUUGGGGAGUGGCCAGAGUUGAGCUUUCUGGUAUUCUUCAUUCGCAAAGAAAGACGGAAAUGGAAGCUGACGCUUGAUCUAUUUGGAGAAGAUAAUUGCUUGUUUGGAUUUAUAAUUUCUGUCCCUUUAUUCUCCCUGGCUUUGUGGUUUAACCCCAGAGUUUUGAACUUCCUAAUUUGACUCCCAAAUUUCUAUAAUUUUGUCGAUUGGAUCCUUCUUUGCAUUGCAUUGGAACCCCUCAAGUCCCCCUUGUUCUGAUAUGACCCGGAAAUUGAAAAAAGUGAACUUGUUUCUCCCUUUUAGAUUUUAAUCAUCUUUUAAUAUGCAUGAGUAGUAUUUUAACUAGAUGAAUUCUUGUUUUUUAGGACAUAAUUGUGGCUUAAUAAUUUUUGUUGAUUUUAUCAUGAUCGGGUGCUUGUGAAAAGGUGAUUUGGGUUGAGAGGUUAUUUUACUUGGUUUUAAGGGAGUGGGUUUGAGUUUAUUAUUUUGGAUUUUUGGCUUGGGCUAGAGGGUCAAGACCCAUCUGUUUGGUUGGCUAAUUUUGGGCAAAAAUAAUAUACUAGCCCGCUCCAUUUGCCUUGGACUUUCAGUCGGGUUAGGAAGCCUUCGGCCCAAAGAAAGAAAAGUGGCCCAAUGACCUGAUGUUCUUAAGAAAUCAGUAAACAAAUUUGCAGAUGGGUCCUUGUACUUUCGAGUAUUUUCACUAUGGCCCAAGCAAUUAAAAAAUCCACCAAAUUGACCCCUCAAAACUUUUUCCUUGCCUUCCAAUUGGGCCCUAUUUAGUGAAUAUGGGUUGUUUAGUUUAUUUGAAUGCUUUUGUUUAAAUUUUCAAUUUCAUGUUUAUUUUAUUCCUUGAGAUUUAUUUGUUAAUUAAAGUGAUGCCUUGACCUUUUCUUUUAUUUUGGAGGGUAAAUUAGUAAUUUCACUCUAUUAGAUCUCCAAUUCAAAGGAGGUACACUCUAUCCCUUAUUUUCUCUUUAUUUGACCCUUAUGUGCACUUAUGUGUUUUAUGUGUGCAAUUGCAUGAUUUUUUUGUUUUUAUUUCAUUUUCAUUCAUUUAUUUCUUUAGUUAUUUAAUCCUACUUUAAUUUAUGUGCUUAUUCUAAUGUAAUUAUUUGAAAGGCAUUCCAAUGCCGAAUUGUAAUAGUUAGGGGGUUAUUUAUUUAUUUUUUUUCUUCCCCCUUAGAUUGUAGUAGGUUCGCCCCAACUGUAAUAGAUAGGGCUUAUGUGCUAUGUGCUUGUGUGUGCCUAUGUGUUUAUCGCUUUCCUAGGCCUUUGCAUCUAGAUGAGCAUGCUUGUAUGCUACGUGCUAUGUAAAACUAGGUGCUUUGCAUAUCUAUUUGCUUUAGUAUUAUAUUUGAUUAUGUGGAAGAAUGCACAUUACCAUAGUUAGUCCAAUACUAAUUAUGGUCUUCCUCUCGAGCCCUCAUAAGUCCAAUGCUUAUGAGAGAGCGUUAGUAAAGGGCUAGUCUAAUGCUAGACCCAAUAGAACCGUCCCCCUUUUCGCUAGUGUCAUAUUUGCAUGCUUCACUACAAUUUCAUUUUCAUUUUAGUAUUUCUCAUUUCUGCGUGCUCCUCUAACCUUUCUCCUAUAUAUCUAGGAUUGCAUUCUCAUUUUAGACUAGUUCAUUUGCUUGUAUAGGUUAGAAAGUUACCUUUCUGGUAAGGGAAACAGACAAAUAUGGCUACACAUAGCCUUAGCACGCUUGUUUUCUUUCUAACGAAAAGGCAAAUCAAAAGUCACGAUUUAGGGUCUCCCCAUACCCGUUUUGCUUGCAUUCCUUUGGGGUUCAUGCAUUUCUAAGGCACAUUACCAUUUGCACACUCCCACUUUACACUAUCAUUUUUUCAUUAUGAUUUCACACACUCUCAUUUUAUACAUUCUCACUCCGCACACUACCACUUCACCCACUAUUAAUUCACACGUUCUCACUUUACUUUACACUCUCUCACAUCUACCCAUUUACAUUUUUUCACACUCAUUUGCACCCUUGCACUUUACACACCCACUUGAACACAUCCUUCUAAGGUUUGGUGAUGCAAAGAGAUUAUGGGUUCGAACCCUGCCUCCCUCAAAAAUUGUCAUAAUAUGUGACGGUGUUCUUUGGCCAUCUUCGAUGGAGUUUCUACUCACAUCGAGUCUCCUCCCCCUCCCCCCUAGAAUAGGUUAGUUUAACUUAUAGAAAUCCUAUCGUUUCGACAAAAAAAAAAAAGAACACAUGCACUUUACACACCUAUUUGCACACACUUGCACUUUGUACACUUGCACCUAGCACUCGUUUUUACACUAAACAAUAUUUUCACAUACUCUCAUUUUUUUCCUCAUUUUAACUCGAGCAUUCAUUUGCAUUUUUUCGUGAUCUCUUUGAGAAUUUAUCAUUGGCUAUCACAAUUCAUGUAAUUAGGACCAAUCGAGCCUCAAAAGAGACAUUUUGUCCCAUUCAAACCAAUCACUAGAUUUAGGUUUGCAUUCAUGUUAGACACAUCCAAAUGCAAUACAUCUUUUGGAUAAAAAUUAGGAAAAUUGUCACUAAAUCAAGCAACUAACUUAGGCUAAGUUAAAGGGGUGCCUUAGACUUCGUCUUUGCCUUUCCUUUUAUCAACCGUGACCCCCGAACUCACUUUUUUGAUUUUCGUAAAUUAGGAGUCAUCUAAAAAGAUUUUAUUUUAUUUUUUUUCAAAAACUACUUUUUGGGUAAUUUGGUACACCCCAACUCAAUAUCAAGUGGCGACUCCUAUUUUUUUCGUUUAAAAACCUUUUUAGAUUAUCAUUUUGGCCAAACUGUCACAUUUAAAGUCCCAUGGCCUUUUCCUUUAUUUCUCACAUUCACACACUUCAUAUUCUUCGCACUACGCAUUAUGGUUUCAAACGACUUUUUUCUAUUUUUCAAAAAAUGGGGCGCGACAGUUUGGCGACUCCACUGGGGACUUCCUAAGUGGGUCCGAGCACUUGAUUUAGUUAUUCUUUUCCUUUUCUACCCUUUUCAUGUAUCGCAUUUGGAUGUUUAGGGUUGCAUUUUUUCUUUUUAGGAUUUUUGCAUUUCGCGCGUAUCAACUCACUUCUUCACCAAUUGGCGUGCGAUUGAUUUGAUGGAUGGAUGGUUUCAUUUGUGUGAUCCCUCGCUUUGCAUUGCAUUUGGGUGGGGGGACAUUACCCUAGAGUUUCACGUUAGAUCUCAAAUCCCUCCCCUCCAAACGAAGCGCUUGCAUACGUGCAUACGCUUUUAUUAUUUUUUACCCCUCAUUUAUUUUUCUUGUAGUGGUUUGUCACACCACUCUGCUCUAUUAGGAUUAGACGACCCACUUGGACUUGUGAUCGCGACACGAUGUGUGCAUAGCAUGAUCCGAGGGGUCAUUCAAUCUUCCGCUUUAAACUUUGGAUUGAUAGCCUUUAACUUUUAGUCGAAAGUUGAGGAUUUUUGAUAGAUUCACUCAAACACGUAGCCGUGAUACGAUGUGUGCGUAGCAGUGUUUAGGAGAUCACUCGAGCCACCGACAAAAGGUCUUGGAAUUGAUGACCCUUAACCAUGAGUCUGAAGGCUUGGGGACCUGAGUUUAUUGAAUCUAAAUGCAUUAGUGAGCCCCAGUCUCAUGCAUCCAUGGUAGUUUACGUAGGGUAGAGUCUACCUUACCCUAUUAGGGACACCAUUCACGAGGGGAGGGAUCCAACCCUUCUAUUUCUUUUAUUGCUUUAUUUUUUUGUAUUACCUUGCUACAAAUGUGUUAUGUGUAUUUGUCUGAUUGAACUAACUUUUUUUGAUUUUGUCUCCAUUGCAUUCAUAAGCCCUAGAAAAUAAGAGUUCUGGCAUGGUACUCUCUAGGAGCCUACCCUGUUUGAUAUGACACGUUUAAAUUCAAUGUUUCGCAUUGACAACAUAAAUACAUUUCAUUUUAACCUCACCCCGACAUACAAAAUGGGGUUCCUUUAGGACACGUUUCAUUGGUAUACUGCAUAUUUAGUCGCAUUGAUAAACUGGCAUCAUGCAUCCACCUUAGAAGGGAAUGCCAUUUAGGGAAUCCCGUGUUAGGAACAAACCGCCUUGUGUCUCGGAUAUAUAAUCUAAUAAAACUUGCACGUUUGUAUUUCCUGUACCAUCCAAAGAGGUAGUGCACGAGGUAAGGGAGGAUCCGAUCUUUUCAAAGACGACAAAACAAUUUUUGCACAUUAGAAUAUGGGCAUCUAACAAUCAUCUUUGGGCCAUUUUAAACAAAUUUGGUAAAAAAUUCCCUUAUGUAAAGGACAUUAAUUUGAAAAAAUUCACAAAUGAUUCCUUAUUAUUGAGACAAUAAAUAUAGAGGCCAAAUCUUGAUUUUAGGAGACUCAUAGACUAAUGCAUUGCAAUGAUUUUUUGAUACUACCAAUGGGUAGAUAAUUCAAUCGAUUUUUGAAUAAAUCAUUAAUUUCAUCCAAUCCAUUUUGUCAAUUCAUUCAAUUUUAGGACAAUCUAAUCAUUUUUGAAUAAAUCAUUAACUCUAUUUCAUUCAUUUGGCCAAUUUACCCAUUUUUAGGGCAAUCGAUUCGAUUUUGAAGAGAUCAUCAAUUUCAUUCAAUUCAGUUGACCAGUCUACCUAUUUUUAGUGCAAUUCGGUCGAUUUUGAAUAAAUCAUCAAUUUUAUCCUAUCCAUUUGACCCGUUUUUUCCCCUUUAGGGUUUAUGUCUAAGGUUCACUGAAUAAAUUAAUCGAGACAUUGCAAUCUCUUUUACACAUCAUUUUACGUGUUGAUCAAAGCAGGCAAUCCAUUCGAAAUUUGUCCUCAUUUUUCAGGACAAAUGUCUCUUCUCACUCCAAUUGAUCAAAUUUUUUCAAAUCAUUUUUCACUCAAUCAGUUGAUCGGAUUCAUCAGGUAUUGUAUGGUACAUAUUCUAAAGGAUUGCAUUUUCAUACUAAACCUAUCCUUGGCAUAAAAGGGUUUCCCCCAUAGGACAUGCAUACCGAUUUUAUAGUCUUACUUAAUAACUCAGGGUAUUUUUUCUUUUAUUUUUUCCCUCCCCUGCAUUCAUAAAAAUACUUUAAUAAGAUGAAAAUAUUUUUCUAUGUCUGAUAAAAUUUGAAAAUUACAAGUAUUACUUGAUUCCUGGGCAGGCUUUGCAAUGAAAAUAUGAAGGAUCUAUCUGGAAGCGUUAAGCUAAAGUCUCUAAGAGAUUUCAUAAUUGUUUUUCAAAGAAAAAUUAUGUAUAUUUGACUUGUUAAUAUAUUUGUCCCAAAAGAAAAGGAGACAAAAACUGUAUAUGUGGAGCUUUUUAGAAAUUUUUCUCUUCUUAUUUGAAUUAUAAUUGAACGAGAAAUUUUGAUUUAAACUUUUUCAGCAAUAAAGUUUUUGGACAAUUAUUGUUUUGUGUAUAUUCAUGUACAUUUCAUUCUUUAUUUUUGCUCAUUGGAGAUUUCAUGAUGAAUUUUAAAAAAUAAGACCAAAUUGAGAUUUUUUCAACCUCUAGGCUGAAAAUCAC
rnacentral:lncRNA from 1 species